CCUACGGGAGGCUGCAGUGGGGAAUAUUGCACAAUGGGGGAAACCCUGAUGCAGCGACGCCGCGUGGGUGACGAAGUAUUUCGGUAUGUAAAGCCCUAUCAGCAGGGAAGAAUAUGACAGUACCUGACCAAGAAGCCCCGGCUAACUACGUGCCAGCAGCCGCGGUAAUACGUAGGGGGCAAGCGUUAUCCGGAUUUACUGGGUGUAAAGGGAGCGUAGGUGGCAUGGCAAGCCAGAAGUGAAAACCCGGGGCUUAACCCCGCGGAUUGCUUUUGGAACUGUCAGGCUGGAGUGCAGGAGGGGCAGGCGGAAUUCCUGGUGUAGCGGUGAAAUGCGUAGAUAUCAGGAGGAACACCGGUGGCGAAGGCGGCCUGCUGGACUGUAACUGACACUGAGGCUCGAAAGCGUGGGGAGCAAACAGGAUUAGAUACCCGUGUAGUC
rnacentral:rRNA from 1 species